GAUUCAUUGUACAGGAGUGGAAGUGCAGGGAAACGGGAAUAGUCCGACAGGAUGAGGGAGGAUCCAGGAUGACUGUGGCGCUCAGGAAACUGCAAAAACUCCGAAUAUCAUGGCAUUAAUCCAAAAUCCAAACAGUGUGGUAAUAAGGGCGGGGAUGUUAUGCUCGAGCCGAGCUGCUCGAUCACGUGUCGAGCAUGUGACACGGAAGUGUUGUGUCUCUGAGCAGGAUUAGCCGGGGCUUCCCUCAAAGCCACAACAAACCACGCCCCCUACAAACCACGCCCCCUACAAACCACACCCCUUAAAGGCGGCAUAAACAAUCGAAGAUUACUAAACGCAGAGGAAGCGGAAGAAAAAGGUGGCAUAAACAAUCGAAGAUUAUAGACGCGAUGUCAAUGCCCGUUCAGAGGUCUUGCACAGCAGAUUGUUGCGGGAGCCUGGACAGAGAAGACUGCCCUGGAUUUGAAGGAUGUUCCUAAGCAGACACAUGGCAAUGACUGUGGUGUCUUCAUGAUAAUGCAUGCCUGGUACUUUGCCAUGGAUGCCUGCUUUGACUUCGGUGUUGAUGACAUGUGUCUCCUUAGAAGAUGGUGGUGCAUUGUUCUCUUGGAGAACUUUGGGCUGGAAGGGUAUGGAAGGAAGUUUGCUCAUUUUACAGAUGAAGGAAAGGCAACUCUUCGUGACAAUGUACCACCAGUAUUCAGGAUCACACGCAAAAGAAAACUUGAAAGCCCCAUGAAUCCACAGCACACUGACCCUGAAAUUGAUCACAUGUACUGUAAGAGGCCUUACAGUUUUCCAUCAAGA